CAGGACUUAGCAGAGAUGCUUUGGUGCCUUCGGGAACUCUGAGACAGGUGCUGCAUGGCUGUCGUCAGCUCGUGUUGUGAAAUGUUGGGUUAAGUCCCGCAACGAGCGCAACCCUUAUCCUUUGUUGCCAGCGGUUCGGCCGGGAACUCAAAGGAGACUGCCAGUGAUAAACUGGAGGAAGGUGGGGAUGACGUCAAGUCAUCAUGGCCCUUACGAGUAGGGCUACACACGUGCUACAAUGGCGCAUACAAAGAGAAGCGACCUCGCGAGAGCAAGCGGACCUCAUAAAGUGCGUCGUAGUCCGGAUUGGAGUCUGCAACUCGACUCCAUGAAGUCGGAAUCGCUAGUAAUCGUAGAUCAGAAUGCUACGGUGAAUACGUUCCCGGGUCUUGUACACACCGA
rnacentral:rRNA from 1 species